GACGAACGCUGGCGGCGUGCCUAAUACAUGCAAGUAGAACGCUGAAGCGAGGAGCUUGCUCUUCUUGGAUGAGUUGCGAACGGGUGAGUAACGCGUAGGUAACCUGCCUUGUAGCGGGGGAUAACUAUUGGAAACGAUAGCUAAUACCGCAUAACAAUAGGUGACACAUGUCAUUUAUUUGAAAGGGGCAAUUGCUCCACUACAAGAUGGACCUGCGUUGUAUUAGCUAGUAGGUGAGGUAACGGCUCACCUAGGCGACGAUACAUAGCCGACCUGAGAGGGGGAUCGGCCACACUGGGACUGAGACACGGCCCAGACUCCUACGGGAGGCAGCAGUAGGGAAUCUUCGGCAAUGGGGGCAACCCUGACCGAGCAACGCCGCGGGAGUGAAGAAGGGUUUCGGAUCGUAAAGCUCUGUUGUAAGUCAAGAACGAGUGUGAGAGUGGAAAGUUCACACUGUGACGGUAGCUUACCAGAAAGGGACGGCUAACUACGUG
rnacentral:rRNA from 1 species